UCCGUAGGCGGGCAAUUAAGUCAGAGGUGAAAUCCCACAGCUCAACUGUGGAACUGCCUUUGAUACUGGUUGUCUUGAGUUACAGUGAAGUAGAUAGAAUAUGUAGUGUAGCGGUGAAAUGCAUAGAUAUUACAUAGAAUACCGAUUGCGAAGGCAGUCUACUAACUGUAUACUGACGCUAAUGGACGAAAGCGUGGGGAGCGAACAGGAUUAGAUACCCUUGUAGUCC
rnacentral:rRNA from 1 species